rnacentral:rRNA from 1 species
GUCCUUUUGAAAUUAAUUUAAGGUUUGAUCUGCUCAAUGAUAAUUUAAAUAGCCGCAGUAUUUUGACUGUGCAAAGGUAGCGUGAUAAUUAGUUUUUUAAUUGAAAACUUGUAUGAAUGAUUUGACGAGAAAAUUUCUGUCUCUAUUUAAUUUUUUAUGAAUUUAAUUUUUAAGUUAAAAAGCUUAAAUAAUUAUAAAAGACGAGAAGACCCCAUAGAGUUUUAUUUUUUCUUAUUAUUUAGAAUUAUUUUAAUCUGAGAAAAAUUAGUUGGGGUGACUGAAAAAUUUAAUUAACUUUUUUAAUUUAAAUCAUUGAUCUAUGAAUAAAAAAUCUAGUUUUUCUAAUUUUAAAUAAAGUUACCUUGGGGAUAACAGAGUAAUUUCUCUUAGAGUUCUUAUCAAAGGAGAAGAUUGCUACCUCGAUGUUGGAUUAAAAUUUAAUUUAGGUGUAGAAGCUUA